CGUCUUGGUGUCGAAGUUUGAAGACGUUCCUUUCAAAAGAUUUCGAGGAAUUGUUUUUGUUUUUUGUGUGGAGUGGCUGUUAUUUCGCUGUCUUAUCUACGUAAGAGAGCUUUGGUCUCCCACCGCCUUCAGAUGCGUCUCUUGGCUCUGUUCGUGGCACUCCUUUCCCUUGUGAGUGCCGCGAAUGCCUUCUUUCCUCUCCCACGUGGUAAUGGAUUUCACAUUCGCCAGAACUUCAGAAGAGGUCGUCCGAUAAGUGGAGGACGACCUCGACCCUACGUCUUCGAUGACUUUAUAAGAGGAAAGUAAGAGAAAAAAAGCAAAAAGAGUUAGAUCGAUGUAUAAAUCCCCUUCACCACCCGCCGGGUUGAACCUGGUCCCGCUUUCUUUAUUUUAUUAUUAUAUUUUUUUAAACGAUUAUUUGUAGAUUUUGUAGUUUAUGAUGUGAAUAAAU